AGUGAACGCUGGCGGUAGGCCUAACACAUGCAAGUCGAACGGCAGCACAGUAAGAGCUUGCUCUUACGGGUGGCGAGUGGCGGACGGGUGAGGAAUACAUCGGAAUCUACUUUUUCGUGGGGGAUAACGUAGGGAAACUUACGCUAAUACCGCAUACGACCUACGGGUGAAAGCAGGGGAUCUUCGGACCUUGCGCGAUUGAAUGAGCCGAUGUCGGAUUAGCUAGUUGGCGGGGCAAAGGCCCACCAAGGCGACGAUCCGUAGCUGGUCUGAGAGGAUGAUCGGCCACACUGGAAGUGAGACGGGGUCCAGACUCCUACGGGAGGCAGCAGUGGGGAAUAUUGGGCAAGGGGGGCAAGCCGGAUCCAGCAAUAGCGCGUGGGUGAAGAAGGCGUUCGGGUUGUAAAGCCCUGUUGUUGGGAGAGAAAAGCAGCAGGUUGAUACGCGGCGGUUAUGACGGUACCCAAAGAAUAAGCACCGGCUAACUUCGUG
rnacentral:rRNA from 1 species